rnacentral:rRNA from 1 species
AUUGAACGCUGGCGGCAGGCCUAACACAUGCAAGUCGAGCGAGCGGCGGACGGGUGAGUACUGUCUGGGAAACUGCCUGAUGGCGGGGGAUAACUACUGGAAACGGUAGCUAAUACCGCAUACCAUCAGAUGUGCCCAGAUGGGAUUAGCUAGUAGGUGGGGUAACGGCUCACCUAGGCGACGAUCCCUAGCUGGUCUGAGAGGAUGACCAGCCACACUGGAACUGAGACACGGCCCGGGCUACUGCGGGAGGCAGCAGUGGGGAAUAUUGCGCGAUGGGCGCAAGCCUGAUGCAGCCCUGCGGCGUGUGUGAGUGAGGCCUGCGGGUUGUAAGGCACUGUCAGCGGGGAGGCGUUACCCGCAGAAGAAGCACCGGCUAACUCCGUGCCAGCAGCCGCGGUAAUAC